UUCGUCUAUACAAGACUCAUCAGUGACGCCCGAAUCCAAAAAAGUUUAAAAGACCACAUAAAGUACGAAGUUUAAGAUCAUUGACGACCAAAAUUCCUAAAAGUUUUGCCAAAUACAGCUAAGGUAAUCUAUUUCUGAGGUAGAAAAGCCUUAGUAUUUCAAAAAUUCAAAAGUUUUAAUCAGCUAUUACUGUCGAUGUUACUGAUGAUGGCAAAACCUUUGGUUUUUUAGUGUCAUGUUGCCUUGCAAUAU
rnacentral:lncRNA from 1 species